GCUCUAACGACCCCUGUGUAAUGCUUCAGAGAGGGCCGAACGAGUUCGGGUGCGCACUCCCGUUUACUUUUAACACCAACCUGCGAGAAAAAGUCUGCCAACCUCCUGAUCUAGACCGAAUUUUACCAUAACUGUAUGACCAUGGACAAGCCUAUCCUGCAUGUGGGAUCUUAGCUACCCGACCAGGGAUCAAACCUGCACCCCCUACAUUGGAAGGCGAAGUCUUAACCACUGGACCGCCAAGGAAGUCCCAGUUUUGCCCUUUUCUGAAUUUUAUGUU